rnacentral:rRNA from 1 species
AAAUUGAAGAGUUUGAUCAUGGCUCAGAUUGAACGCUGGCGGCAGGCCUAACACAUGCAAGUCGAGCGGUAGCACAGAGAGCUUGCUCUCGGGUGACGAGCGGCGGACGGGUGAGUAAUGUCUGGGAAACUGCCUGAUGGAGGGGGAUAACUACUGGAAACGGUAGCUAAUACCGCAUAACGUCGCAAGACCAAAGUGGGGGACCUUCGGGCCUCAUGCCAUCAGAUGUGCCCAGAUGGGAUUAGCUGGUAGGUGGGG